rnacentral:rRNA from 1 species
UACGUAGGAUGCAAGCGUUGUCCGGAGUUAUUGGGCGUAAAGCGCAUGUAGGCGGGGGUGUAAGUGUGGUGUGAAACCUCCGGGCUUAACCCGGAGUGGUCGCUGCAAACUGCACGCCUGGAGGGCUGGAGAGGCAGACGGAAUUCCCGGUGUAGUGGUGAAAUGCGUAGAUAUCGGGAGGAACACCAGUGGCGAAGGCGGUCUGCUGGCCAGUACCUGACGCUCAGAUGCGACAGCUAGGGGAGCGAACGGG